rnacentral:lncRNA from 1 species
GAAUCAAAGUGAAAAUUACCUACUCUCUGGCAAGCCAACUUCCCACUUCAGGACAUAGAGUAGGUAAUUUUCACUUUCAUUCUUGUAUGCAUGAAAAGAAUUUUCAUUUCUCCUGGGCCUGAAAAGUCUUUCCUCCAGAUUUUUGUACAACUAGAUACUGUUCAUUAUUCAAGUCCUGGCCUAAAACACUUCCUAAGAGAAGCUCUCCCUUACCAUCCAGCUAAAGUAGUGCCACACUAUCAUAUCCACCUGUUAACUUUCCAUUUCCUUUGUUUGUAAAGCUUUCGAUAUAGAAACAUACAAUAAAUACCAAUUUUACAACUUCAUGUAGCAUACACAAACAUCUCCUUGAUUCUUGCAAAUUAGACUGAGAAAAUCGUGGAAAUUGCUAAGCAACGUUUGGUGUAGUGCAAACUCUAGGGAUUUGCUGGCUGGCAACAUUCCCUUCAUCCUGUAAUGAACAUAUUUUGUUCAGUAGUAGCCAUAUGAGUAUGACUAAAGCAAAGAGACCCAUUCAGAGAUAUUUGCAUUUUCUUAACACAGAAAGAAAACUUUAGUGCAAAAUUAUCAGAUAGUAUGAUAAAACAUAGUGAAACAUUUUGGGGAGGGUGGAAAAGAUGUUUCUAGCCCACUAAAUCAUACCUCAUAUGCAAAACUUUCUGCUUUUCAAGAGAGACCUACAUUUGUCUCCAGAGAAGAGGACUGGGAAAUAAAUCUCCAUUAGUCCUAGGAAAUGUAAACUUCUUUUAUUUAGCUUUUCCUGAUGAAGUGUAGGUUCAGGGAAUUUUCAUAUAUAAACCAUUAUCCUUUAAAAUAUGUGGGGGCUUAUAAACGUAAUAUAUCUGUUGUUCUUUGGUCUGUAAAAUAUUUCAAUAAAUUAUUGAACUCUUGAAGCCACGAAAUCAAACAAACUAAAUAUAUGGUGUCUUUUACUUCUUCAAUUUUCAUUUUAAAAUCCCCAAACACCUAUUGUUAACAAAUGAAGGAAACAUUUCCUUAUUUCCUGAUCAUCCCUACCAAAAUAUUGUUGACAAUAGAAAAAAAUUAAUUAUGGCCUAUAGUAGGAAGCAUAGUCAUUAACAGUAUGUCCUGGAAAUUUUAAAAUUUUAUUAAAAUGCCUAAUCUCUACACUAUAAAAUAUAUGCAAACAAUAAACUAGAUUGGUAUAUGCAAACAAUUUAAGAUUGAAACUAGAUAGGAUUAAUUUAUAGAACAUAUAUAGCUAUUAAUUGAUCAAUAUCUUAAUGAAAAUUAACAGUGCAUAAAAAUAUUCAUAAUUGUCCUUAAAGAACAUGAACUAGGCCGGGCACCGUGGUUCACGUCUGUAAUCCCAGAACUUUGGGAGGCCGAGGCAGGUGGAUUAUCUGAGGUCAGGAGUUCAAGACCAGCCUGACCAACAUGGUGAAACCCCGUCUCUACUAAAAACAACAACAACAACAAAAAUAGAAAAAAAUUAGCUGGGCAUGGUGGCGGGCACCUGUAAUCCCAGCUACUCAGGAGGCUGAGGCAGGAGAAUUGUUUGAACCCAGGAGGUAGAGGUUGCAGUGAGCUGAGAUCAUGCUGCUGCACUCUAGCCUGGGUGCAACAGAGUGAGACUCCGUCUCAAAGAAAAAAAAAAAGAAUAUGAGCUAAAUUUUAUCACAUAUUUAUGUAAAAUUUUGAAUUGUAUCAUACGUAUUUAUUCACAGCAUACUUUUAUUUACCAAAGUACAUCGUACAUUAUACAAAUCUUAAUUACAUUUACAUUAUACAUUUAUAAUAUUAAAAUUGUGCGAGUAGUCUUCAAAUAUCUGACAACUUUGGGGUCAGUGAAUGAAUUGACAAUGAACAAGUCAUGCUUUAUAAAUAAAAAAUGCAUGUUGUUUGAUUUGACUCAUUCUUUGUGAACCUAUGCUAGCUUCAUAUUCUUUCUCUCGAUGUCCUAUUUUUUUGGUCUAUAGUUUGUGAGGUUCACCUUUUUCCUCUUUAGAAAAUGGUGAUAGCUUUGCUUUUCAACUGACUCCCCUAAUGUCCACUUUUCUUCAGAGAUUACAGACAAUGGUUUUCCAAAUCUCCUUAUUCUUUUAUUGCCUUAGGAUCUAAUUGCAAGCAGUUGAAAGAUUAAAAUCCUCUAAAGAAAUUAAAUUAUUUCUAAUUAUCCCAUGACCUGUUUUAAACUACAAUUUUCUCUUAAAGAAACUUACCCUCCAUUUUUCUUUUAAAAUUACUCCCUGUGAUAGAGAAAGUAGGAGACAACUGUCUCAAAAAUCUGCUUGCUCCUCUUGAUCUAUUAAAAUACCAUUAAAAAUUUUGGGUUUACUUUGCUGGUGUCAGUUGAUUUUGUGCUUACUAUAAUAGAUCCAUUUGACCCUUUCAUAUUCAUUGAUAUGUACAUGUACUGUUUUUUCCUACUACUGUAGUUUCUCUUAUUCAUUCAACCUCAGUGAGGAAUACAAACAUGAGUCAUGCUCUCAAAGAAGCCUAGAAGUAAGGCUGAGAUAUGUCAACAGUGUUGUAAUGCAAGCCAGGAAGAAACAUGAUAAAAGGUUCCAGUAGCAUGUACUAAGAGUUCAGUAGAUAAGGUUACUUUAGGUGAUUAUGUAUAAAUUUUAAAAAAACUUUCUAUACGGGCUUUAUUUAAGCUGGACUUCUAAAGAAUCCCCUAUCCAAGAAAAUGGUUGGGCCUUAAUAGGUCUAUAAAUUACAUGAAAUUAUAUGUAAUAUUUGGAAAAUAUGUGUAUGCAAUAUAGAAUGUAUAUAUUGUGAUAGAGAGAAAAGGGCAGAAUAAGACUACUAGUAUUCAUCAUAUUCUGAAAGACAUCCACACAGAGUAGUGUUUGGAGAGUUUUGCAACAUUAUUAAAAGAGUAUGAUUAGAAUUACAUUCUCAUUGCUUCCAAAUGUUCAUCAGUGUUUUUGCUUCUCAACAAUCUAAGCAAGCAUGAUGAACUUUUCAUUGAAUUUCUUGAAACAUGCUUUUCCAGAGACUAGAAAACACAUCUGAUUGUUCCUUACUAUUUUGCAAUAUAAUAUGUUCAUUUCCUUCCCCAAAUCUUUUCUUCACCUACAAGUUCACUGAUAAAAAUUAAGCCUAUAAUAUUAUUCCUUUGUUUCCUUUCACUUUCUGGGAAUUGAAACUGUUGUCAUUUUAAAUCAACAAUAAAAUUAUAUUAAAAAUAAGGGGCAGAAUUAGAAUAUGGGCACUAGAUAUCUUAUUAAAAUAACAGAAUACUCAACUUUUUUUUAAUUGUAUGGAGACUGAUGGGAAACUGAAUUCAUACACUGAGAAGAGCUACAGAGAAUAAAAAGAACAAAUUAAUAUGUGCAUUUAGAAAGCAGAGGGAAUAGUAAUAUAAAAAAGGAGUUAAAAACAUAAAAGUAGAGAUAAGUAGUGUUUCACAGAGUUUUCUGUAAGGGUAAGUGCACGAAAAAUGGCAAGAUGGUUUUAAAAGAUUUAGAAUUCACAAAGUAGAAAGUGACAGAAAUUGAACUACUCACUUAAAUUUAAAAAGAGACGGGGGGAUAGAUUCAGCUACUUGAUGGCAUGAAAUCAAAGUACUUGAAUUUUUGAAGUGUAUUUAAAAAUCUAGUAAAGAAUGCCUACAAUUACAAAAGGUAUGAGAUUGUCUUUUUGAGUUUAGUAGAAUAUAAACUGACGACAAAAGACUGACAGGCACCAAAUAAGUAGAGUGUAAAACAACAACAAAAAAAAGAAAGAUAAAUUCAGGUAAUGAUAUUCAAGCAGUAUGACUGCAUAAGAUUGCAUAAGAAAGAAUACAUUUCCAAAUCCAAAACAAUAUCAUCCUGUUGUAUUAUAUGCAUAUAUUGAAUACAAUAACAAAAGUAUCAAGAGUUCUUAUUAAAGCACCCAUUAUCAUUUAUGUAAAAUAUUGCAAGACUUUAAAGUCACAGAACAAAACAUAUUUUUUCCCCAUUAUCUUUUUUGAGAUGAUCACAUUUCUUCACACUUUGUGAACUGCGUAGUUAAGAUGGAGCAAUGAUUUGAACUAUUUGCAAAUGCAGUUCCUUCCCCACUCUUUAUAUACUGUUUGGGCCAUGAAUCUAUGGAAAGAGGUGUUUUACAAGAACGAAAGUCACAUCAUUCAGGACUUUCUAGCAUAAAAUGAUCUAAUAUGCUUAGAUUUAAGUGGUCAGAUUUUGCCCCUUCCUCCCUUUCCUCUCCAUGUUCCCAGAUCAUUUCCAGAGAGAUAAGUAACUAAUUGACAGUGUUGUUUGAGAGUAAAUUCCUGAGUUAUAUAGAAGUUGGAACAAUUAUUCCCUCAUAAAACUAAAACAAAUUCUACAAUAGUUACAUGAAAUGCAGAAGCACAAUCAAUGAACAUUAAUUCUUGACUGAAAUGAAACAGCCCUGGUGUUUUCAUGCAAACUUAGCUGCUAUAAACCUAAAAGAUGCAAUCACCAAAAGAUGUGAAGUCUUGAGGUAAAGAUUAGCACUAUAAAUGCCAUUUGAUAUCAGAUGAAAUAUGCAUUUCUGUACAUGUGUUUAGAAGAAUCUAAGCCCCUAAAACUUCUCCUCACUAACCCCAAGAUGCCUGAAUUUCUCAACAUUAAGUUUUCACAUCGUAAUACAGUUUUCUUUCCUGGUGUUUCCUCUUCUCUCUGCCUAGUAAAGGAUGUUAUAAAAUCGCAGUUCAAUGUUUUUUUCUCUUCUUGUAUUUUCCACUCUGCUGGUUAUGGCCAAUGAGUCAAGAUUCAAAGUGUUCCCAUAUAUAUCUCUGCAGCUCAAACUCUCCAGAACUUGGGCUUGUAUUUCCAGUUACUGGACUUAAGCUGGGCACACCCACAGUGUCCCUGGACUGGGUGAGGAAUGCUGGAAACCACUGCAUAAACAUGAAAAAUCAUUCCGUAAUUUAGGCAAAGUUUGGAGAGAGAGUCACAUUUUAUA